AAUUUAGGAGAAUCAUUUCCCAACACUAAGGAUGUUACAAAAGGUAACAGAAAAUAGAAAGAAUAAGGCAUCUGAAGCUUAAAUGACUAUUGGGAAUUCCAGAAUAACUCUGCAUUAUUAAUUUUGGUAAGUAAAAAGUUUAUAUUGUGUACAUAUCCAGAUUGUUAAUUUUAACUCUUCUUGAAAUAUAAUAUUGUCUGGUUUUGUAGUAUAUGGAUGAUUCAAAGAUUAUACUUGUCAGAUUUUUUUUUACCUGGGACAUAAAAUAAUCUGAGAUUUGAAUUAUGUAUUUUGACACUUGUUAACCUCUUAAGGACAGAGACAAUUGUACAAGUUCUAAACAAAACAAAACCAAGACACACCCUAGAAUUUGACAAUAUGUCUGUUCAGUUGUAAUUCACCUCUUUAUUGUUAAGUGCACCCACAUUUAUUAUAUAUCAUUUUGUACAGGAGAAACAAGGCUCUCAUUUCACAUCAAAUAUUCAUAUAUGAAACAUAUUUUAUAUGAAUAAAAACUAAAAAAGUGUGAGAAGUUAAGAAAUUAAAUUUUCUUAGUUCUGCGUGACAUUUUAGCUGUGCAUGUCUUCAUACACUUAGCUUUUACUGCAGUAAAACACACAUAGUUGUAUUCAGCGAUGUCUCACGAGUACAGCAUAAAACUCCAUGUAUGGGUUUUAUGGGUUUUUGGAAAGUUACAGAGCAGGGGUGGACUGACAACUCACAGGGCCCCCAGGCAACAGGGAAUCAAGGGUCCCUCCUGCUGCAAGGAUUUUUGGAUACUGCUACACUUUUUUUUGUGCGUCGCUCACUCAGAUAUUAGGAGUUCGCUGCUUAGCACCCAGAAUGGCUUUGUGAGAGCCGCACAGUCAUGACUCAAAGCCGCAGUGCCCCCAAAAAGGCCAGAUUAACUUUUAAAGGGUUAAUCCAACCAAAAAGAGUGUUUUAAUAAAACACUGUCUUUGAUGGAGCAAUCCUUGCUGGCAUGCCUUGUUCCUUAAAAAAAUAAAGUAAAUUUAAUGAUACCCUUUCUCUGUGUUAGCUUGUAAUAUCACAAGCAGUGUCCCUCAUCAGUGCAAGCCUGCAAACUGCAACCUGUGGUUUGUCUUGUUUUACCUAUAUUACAGCAUUGCAGAAUAUGUUGAUCCUAUAUCAGUGAUUUUAUUUAUUUAUGAAAUAUAUUACCAGGAAAGAUAUAUUGAGAUUUAUCUCGUUUUCAAGUAUCUCCUGGGUCCACAAAACAUUACAUUGAUACUAAUUGUGUGUGUGUGUAAGGAGGCUGCAUGUGGUACUGCAUGUGUGGGAAUGGUGCUUAUAGGAUUGCGUGCAAUCAUUGAGGCUCCUUGUGGAGCGUGUGUGAAUGGUGCUGCUUGCAGUGUAGUAUGUGAGUGGAGAGGGCUGUUUGUAGCCUAUGGAGCAGCGCAGCUAAGGGGAAUGGGCCUUGACAUUGCUAAGAGACAGGCAUAGGAGGGGUAUAAUGUAGGGGAAUGGCUAGCAUAACCGGAGGAGGGGUUUGUGUUAGAUGAGUAUAUAGAGUGGCCAUUUUAGAUCAGUGGCCAUCUUAAUUAAUCCACACGUACCUGUUUGGCCCACCCUCCCUACCGUAUUUGGUCUCUAGCUCCCAUUUGGUCACGGUAGUGGGGAAUGGAUAGAGAAGUUGGGGUGUUUGUUCUUGUGACGGAACGCUGGCACUCCGACUGAGUACCUCCGCCAAUCGAUGCGCCUAGUGCUCGCUGAGGACUCCAAGCACUCCAACCGACACCAUCAGCACUGCAGACCCCACUUCCAGUGAUGCAGCUGCGCCGGGGUCUCGCCGUCUCCACCCAGGGUCCAGCUUGCAGUGGGGAACCUCUCUUUCCCCAGAGAGCAGAAACAGGAACAAGCUCUAAUCAGAGCUUAGUGAUCAUACCCAGGGGAGUAUAGUGAUUAUAGCAAUCCCCAGAGUGUAGUUCUCCAAUUCCCCAAACAUGAGCCAAGGCUUCAAGAAAGGUAGAAGAUGAUCUGAUUUUAAUGACCACACACCGGCUUUUAUGCAAGUCCCCAUGCAAGGGGACAUCCCACAGGGUGGGACACAGUACAACCAAUCAUUUACAGGAAAACAGGAAAACACACCCAGCACCAACAUACAAUCCCUCCCCUCUGCCUGUGAUAUAAUUACUGAACACAAUGGGUUAAUGUAAUUUAUCACAGGCAGGAAAAAUACACUUUUUACACAUAUACUGUAACUUUAAAAAUAUACAUCAUAUUCACAUAAAACAUACAUAUUCAGAAUCAGCAUACUUUAAAUAUAAACAUAACAAAAAAUCAUGCAAAUCCUUCCAUUAGUUCAAAAGUUAGUCGAAAGUCCUUUGUGACCAAAUGAAGCAUGGAUUUUCUGCCCAAAACCAGUUUCACAGUGUCUUCUAUCCUGGAGACAAUUGGGAAGUAAUCCAAUUAUCUCCAAAGACAGAGGCAAAACUCCAUUUAACACAUGGUUGCAAAAAGACAUACAAUUACACAAUGUUACAAUUACUACAUAAAACAUAUACAUGCAACAUAUCCCCAGAUAGCUUAGAUCUGAGCGCACAUUAUUACGAAAUAGUGCUCAGAUCACAUACAUACAGUUCAAUCGCCAUGGAGCCAAAGUCUUUUCCAUAGUCUUUUGUUACACAAAUAGGCUCCAUGGCAUAGCUAUCUGGGAUAGCACUACUACCAUACUGAAAGACCAGAACGCCCCGGCAGAAAUACACUAAUAAACCUUUCUGCAGGGGAAAAUACAGCUAUCAGCACAUGGGCCCUAGUCGGAAGGCAGGAGGCUAGCCAGUAGUCCCCUCCAGGCACAAGUGGCGAAGGGCACUUCGUCACAGUCCUGAUGGAAAAUAGUUUUGGUUUGCUAAAAACAGUUUGGUUUGGAAGAGUAUUGGUAGGUUCGAGCUCGUCGGUAGCUCUGAACCUGGUGUGUGUAGGGUGUAUCUUGGUAUGCCCCUACAUGGAAGAAAGCUGGAAACCAUGCCCUCGGUGGCAAUGGUUAUGUCAUGCCCUCGGUGGCAUUGCUUAUGUCAUGCCCUCGGUGGCAAUGGUUAUGUUAUAUUUUAAUUAUAUGUUAUAAUGUGGUUUUACUUAUUUUGUUGUGGGUCAUUGUCUGGCGUAGUAUUGUUAAAGGAGUUGGGGGGAUAUGUCAUGUUAAUCUGUGACAAUGACCCUAGAAUAUUUUAACUUUAUUUAUUAAUAAAGCUGUGAUAAUUUUCCCAAAUUAAGGUUUCCGAGUAUUUGUGGGGGGUUUGGGUUUAUCACGCAUAUGCCGUAUAGGCGACUAUGCAUAUGUUAUGUGUUGUAGUGCAUUUUUUGUGUAUAUGGGUUGUUGGAUGUGUUUUGGUAUAGAGGCUGUAGAAGGUGUAGUGGAAAUAGGGACUGUAGUGUGUGAAUGCGGUGAUAAGGGCAAUUGUAGGUGCAGGCGGGAUACUGGCUAUAGUGGGUGAGGAGAGAUAGGGGCUGUAGUGGGUGCAGGGCAGGCAUAGCGGCCUUGUAGGUACAUGGGUUCUGUAGUGGGUGCAGGGGCGAUAGAAGUACAGGCUGCACAGGAGAGCGAUAGGGGCAGCUUUGGUGCAGAGAGGGAUCGGGGCUGUUUGUUUUGGGUGUAGAGCAGGAUAUGAGCUUGGGGUGCAGGGAGGGAUAAUGGCUGUAGUGAGUGCAGUGGAGGAAUGGGUGCUUCAGUGGGUGCAGGGGGCAUAGAGACUGUAAGUGAAGGGGGGGCAUUAGGCAGGUGCAGGGGGCAUGGUGGCUGGAGUGGGAGCAUGUGGGACAUAUGGGCUGUAGUAGGUGCAAGUGGGGCACAGGGCUGUAGUGGGUGCAAUUAGGCAUAGGAUCUGUAAUGGGUCCAGGGGAGAGAAUGGGUGCUACUGUAGGUGCAUGGGGGGCAUAAGAUCUGUAGAAGUUGCAGGAGGGCAUAAGUUCUAUAGAGGGUGCAGGGGGUAUAGGGGCUGUAGAGCAUGCAUGGGGACACAUGGGCUUUAGUGGGUGCAGGGAGCUAUAUGAGCUGUAGUGGGUGCAGGGGAGAUCCAAUGGUGUGCAGGUAGGGCAAAAGAAAUGUAGUGGGUGCAGGGGGUAUAGGGUCUGUAGAGGGUGAAGGGGGCAUAGGGGCUGUAAUGUGUGCAGGGGGACACAGAGGCUUUAGUGGGUACAGGGGGAACAUGGGCUGUACUUGGUGCAGGGGAGGGACUGGCUGCUAUAGUUUGUGCAGGGGAUAUAUUGGUGCGGGGGACAUAAUCUCUGUAGAGAGUGCAGGGGGAUACAGAGGUGCAGGUGGGGCACAGGGGCUGUUGUGGGUGCAGUGAGGUAUAGGAGUUGUAGUGGGUGCAGGGGAGGGAUUGGGUGCUAUAGUGGAAGGGAGAUGGGUAGCAGGGUGGGCAUAAGGUCUGUAAUGGGUGCAGAGGGGCAGAUGGGCAUAGGGGCUGUAGAGAGUGCAGGGGGUAUAUGGGCUGUAGAAAGUGCAGGGGGCAUAGGGCUGUAGAGGUGCAAGGGGGACACGUGUGCUUUAGUUUAUUUAAGGGGGACAUGGAUAGUAAUUGGUGCAGGGGAAGGACUGGGCACUAUAGUUUGUGAGGAAUAGGGGCAGUAGUGGGUGCAAGGGGGGAAUAGUAUAUGUGUGUGUGUGCACUUUCAUUCUAAGUGUAUUUUUAUAUUAAUAUACUAUAUGUAUAUAUAUAUAUAUAUUAAUAUAAUUAUACACUAAGUAUGAAAGUAUAUAUAUAUAUAUAUAUAUAUAUAUAUAUAAAAUAAAAAAUAGUUCACGCCUUCAUCACAUUAAUUCAUCACAUUAAUUCCCAGAUAUGUGCCUUGGUACAAAAUUGAAGGAAGGUGUAGCGGAGAGGUAGUAUAAUCCACAGUAUCUCUGCUGGGUAACAGGAACAGCAUAAAAUCCUUCAAGCAAAAUAAGUACAGCAUGCAAUAAUCCCGGUAGCGUUGUAUAAAUCCUUCCUUCCCAAGAACUAGACGACACAUAGGCUGGGAGUCAACUGAGCUUUUAAUCACAGGUCACAGUAUUUAUGGGAUUCCCCACGCAAGGGGUUUCCCUACUGACAUUACAGGGGUUGUACAGUAGGGGACUACAUGGGGAACUUAACAACCCGGACAUUUCUCCCAUCAUUCACUGCUGCACAAGAGGGAUACUCCCACUAGAAUAUCCAGUUAAGUGGAUUAUCCCUCCAUGCAGCAGAACUGGCAUUUUACACAAAAAUACAUAACUUUCACAUUAUUCAUGUUAUUUUACCGAAUGACCGUUCGGUAGAUAGCUGGGGUCUGAGUACACCUUUCGUGAAAGUACCGCUCAGAUCCCAGCAUAAAUAACCGAACGCUGCACGAAAACACAUAUUAUUUUACAUUCACCUUAAAGUACCAAAUGUAUAUAGGGGAACAAACUACCGAAUGACCUGUGCUCCCGAACGGCCUGGAAGUCCAGCGGUAUUCAUGCCAUCGAGUAGCCGAUUUUAGUUCCAGGCGCUCGACGACCAAAUACCGCUGGGCUAACAAAGGAUCCAAGAUGGCCGACCGCCGCGUGACCACCCUGAAUCUCAAUAAUUACAGAAGGAUACAUUGUUACAAUACUUAAUGGGAGCCACACGACCUCCUGUGUGUGGUCUCCCAUUCGGUAGUUUGUUCGUUUCACGAACAGUGUUGAAAUUCACUGUUCGGGAAACUACUGUAUGAAUGCUGGUGGUUUUCCUGCCGCCAGCAUACAAAUGCUCUCGUUUGCAUAAAAUGAAGAAAUAGGUACAUGCUUGGUUCUCACAUUCUUAAAGUCACAGCAACACAUUAAUACACAUGCAGUCUUAAGUGGCUAGUUUUGCCACAGAAGGGUGCACUCAGAGGUCUCUAAAACAAUUAAAGUAGUAUUUAUUCCAACAUUAAAUCACAAAAGUGCUCGAUCGACGUUUUGACCCAUUUGGGUCUUUCUCAAGAUCAAUGUGACAUACAACAAAAUGUAAUUAUAUAGGAAAAGUAUAUUGUGUACUUACCAAUAGUGUGUGAACCUCUCCCAGAUCAGUGCCAACCCGGAAGUGAGUCGGGAAGGUAACAUGACGUGACGUAAAAAAAAGUGGUGACGUAGCGUGUCAUGGGGCCGUGGUUGCUAGUUAAUGAGUAUACAAAAGUGAGGGUCAUGAAAGAAGUGCACUGACAGUGCUAUACAAGACAUAAAGGAUAGAAAUGACACAUAAUCUGAGUAAUAGUGUGUUAUAAGGCAUCUAAUAUUAAAGACCAAGUACAAUGGACACUGAUGUGGGAGUAUAGGUGAAUAGGUGAAUACAAACGUAAAAGAAGUGUGAAAACUGUAAAAGAAGUGUGAAAGAUCAUGUGUGUGACAUGUGGAGAGAUGUGCCAAAAGAUAUACACAGUGUCCAAAAUAGAAAGGGUCCUUUGGUUCUUUAUGGGCUGUCAGUCAUUCCCCCUAAAGUGGAGCGCCGGGAAGCCAGGACCGGACUGGGAACUAAAAUCAGCCCUGGAAAAAAAAUUCAAUACCAGCCCAGUAAUGCAUCGCGCCAGCAUAGUGUGCUGAUAAAGAGGGUGAAAAAAUAACUUGAAAUUAAAAACUCUUACUCCAAUGAAGGAACGCAUAUAGGGCUUCAAUCUGAUCUGGUUAAUUUUGAAGUUCUAUGGGUGCACUCUUCACUUUGAAUAUGUUAUUGUGCAUGAGUAUGCAACUAGCAACAAGACAGGGCCAAUACGUGCUAAUUACAUACAUACAUAUAUAUAUAUAUAUAUAUAUGUAUAUAUUAAUGACAUUUAUGUGUGUAUUAUGCAUAUAUAAAUGUAUAUUACUAUAUGUGUAAAUAUUAUAGGCAUAAUUAUAUGUUACUAAUACACACAUCAAUAUACAUGCAUAUAUAUAUAUGUGUGUAUUACUGUCAGGAUCACAUCAAUUUAUGUCUAUUACCUUUACCUCGUUUAGUGUAUCUUGUCUCCAAUUGUCUCCUUUUUUUCUCUUACAGCGACCCUUGUGCAUCUUUUACUUCAUCCCAGUCCCUGUGUGUUUCUUUUUACCCUUCUCCAGCCUCUGUAUUUCUCUUUCCCCCAGCCCCUUUUGUGUUGUUCUUAGCCCCAGCCACUUUGUCUCUUUCUCCCCUUCCAAAUCUCAUCUGUGUGUCUCUUUCUAACUCCAGACUCUGUGUGCCUCUUUCUCUUCUCCCAGCCACUCUCUGUCUCUUUUUCCCCAGCCCAGCGUUGCCUCCCACAAAUCUUGUGUCACUUUGUUCCCCUUCCCUACUGUAUGUCUCUUUGUCCCCCCAACAAACCUUCUGUGUGUCUCUCUUCCCCAUCUCCUCUCUGUGUCUCUCUUCCCCAUCUCCUCCCUGUGUCUUUCUCUUACCCCUCUGUCUCUUUGUACCCACAUCCCCUGUGUCUCUCUAUUACCCCAUCUGUCUCUGAGUCCCCCCUUCUCCUGUGUCUCUCUAUUACCCCUCUCUUUGUCCCCCCAACCCCUAUGUCUCUCUAUUACCCCUCUGUCUCUUUGUCCCUCCCUUCCUGGUGUCUCUCUAUUACCCCAUCUGUCUAUGUGUCCCCCCUCCCCUGUCUCUCUAUUACCCCUCUGUCUCUUUGUUCCCCCCCAACCUGGUGUCUUUCUAUUACCCCUCAGUCUCUGUGCCCCCCUUCCCUUCUAUUUUUUCCCCCACCUUCCCCUUCCCCUUCUGUGUCCCUUCUGACCUUGUUACAGGAGGACUGAGGGAGGGGGCAGAGCUAACUACCAUGCUCCCUCGCGGUUCCCAUAAUUCCCAGCAUGGACACAUCAUAGAGUAGUGAUUACUCUAUGAUGUGUAGAUGUUGGGAAUUAUGGGAACCGCGAGGGAGCAUGGUAGUUAGCUCCGCCCCCUCCCUCAGUCCUCCUGUGCUGACAGCUAUGCUGCUGUCAGUAUCAGUGAGUGUGCUGCUGGAUCGCUUAGGCGGCCUCCCGGCACACUCAUUGAUACUGACAGCAGCAUAGCUGUCAGGACAGGAGAUGGGGCCACCGGCCGCAAGGUGAGUAAUCACCUCAGAGUGCGCCGCCGGAUCGGCCACCCGGCGGCACCGACAUGCGGCCAGCGGCCUAAAUAUUAUUAAAAUAUGUGGAGCAGGGCUCCCUCUCUUCAUGCAGCCCCCCCAGGUGCCGCGGCCCACCGGGAAAUUUCCCGGUAUCCUGGUGGGCCAGUCCGGCCCUGCGGGAAGCUAAGUAUCCCGGAGGCUCCAGGGUUCAACGUCGUUACGGCAUUCUCUGACGCCGCAAAGUCUUUAAAGCACAUUAAAUGCGGAACGGCAUAGAACGCUGUAACAGUAUUAUGGGGUUAAAAUCCAACUGGUUUUGUGAGACAGGAAAUAAUGUAAAAUAAGUGUUAAUCUUAAAUAUUUACAUAGCAAACGAAACUGAAAAAAAAAAGACUUAAGUCCAUCGAGUUCAAACUUUUAAAGUUUUUACUCAAGUUUUGAAUGCAAUGCUGUUUACUAGAUUCAUAAAAUAUGGCAAUGUCCGAUUUUGUCCUUGACCAAAACAUUAACAAAAUUGCUUCUUUAUAUACAUUUUGAUAUUCAUAAAUGCAUUUCUGUAAUUCUGUAAUUCACCAUAUUUUUCUGUCUAUAGCAUGUCACAUCAUCAUCUUCAUUACCAAUUACCACUAUUUAAUGUUUCGUUGUAUGCUUUUUAAAUGUCUUGUAAUAUCACACCUUCCCUUCACUCAAGAAUCUUGUUUAAAGGACUGCACUUCAGCUCGCUCUCCUCUUUGCUGACUAUACAUUUGCGAGAGAAGUAACUAGACAUUGAACCAUUUAAUAAAAUUAGUGUAACUAUCAAAUUCAGAGGUAUCCAUGUGCAUUCACACGCGCACACACUUGGUUAUUAUUCUGGCAUUUACCUAGGUGAUAAAAAACAUUAAACUGGCAUGUAGUAUUAAACCGACAGUGGAAGCAGGUGGCAUGAUGUGGCAUGAUGAAAUCUCAAUGUAUCCUUCCUAGUAAAAUAUUUUAGUAUUAAAUAAAUACAUAAAUAUGUCAGAAGUAUUUGAAUACUAUGGACUCUGGAAGAUUGGUCAAAGUUCCCAAUACUCAGAUACAUUUUAUUAAACAAGACAAUCAAAUAUACCUACAUAAUGUCUUCUUUAAGAAUCAUAUCUGAAUAACAGAUUGAGCCAAGUUGAGACUGUUUAUUAUUCCUUUGCGUCACCGAGGCCUCAGCAUCUUCCGCAAGAGAGUGAAAAGCCUAAAACAUCCUUUUACUCCGUUAGUGAUAAUUGUUAGAAAACCAGAGUGUGUUACACAAACUUUUAUAACUGUUUACUCCAAGAAUUGAGCUGUAAACAGACCUUGCAAAUGAGAAAAAUCCAGAAGUGUGACACUCAGUAUAGCUGCGCUGUUCCGCAGUGACGCAUAAAGUAAACCAAAAUGAAAUACUAUUACCAAAAUAAGCACGUUUAAACUGAUGGAAAAAAAGGUUAAAAAUAAAUAACAGAAAACAAAUAUAGUGUAGACUAUCUGAAUAGAUAUAUAAUGCACAAUAGGGGGUAUAGGAGAGAACUCACAUGGACCAGAGCCCUAUCACCCCUGGCUCUGGGUUUGAAAAGAUCCACUUGACAGGAAAGUAUCCCACACAUGGCUGACAGGAUCUGGAUGGUAUGCUCCCAGUAGUUAGAUGGUUCUAUGAAAUAUAUAAUACCCCUAAUCGAAUAGUAUCUUAAACACUUUAUUAUAAAAAUGGUUAAAAACGCUUACUUUGCAAGUGGUGGGUAUGCCAGCAAAACAUCACAAAUAAAGCAAGUUUUUAUGUGUGUGCCAGCACUCCCCCUCCUGCAGGUCACUGAAUGUAGCGUGACCAAGCAGAUCGCGCUCUAAGAGAGCACUUCUAGUGAUACCGGGUACCAUUAUCAGAUGUCAAAGGUAAGCUGGUACGGAAAGGGGAUGAGCAAGAGACACAUGGAUGGGUGAGGGGAGGGAAUGAGACACAUGGAGGGGCUGGGAGGAUCAGAUAUUUAGUAUCUCACAAAAGUGAGUACACCCCUCACAUUUUUGUAAAUAUUUUAUUAUAUCUUUUCAUGUGACAACACUAAAGACACUCUGCUACAAUGUAAAGUAGUAAGUGUACAGCCUGUAUAACAGUGUAAAUUUGCUGUCCCCUCAAAAUAACUCAACACACAGCCGUUAAUCUCUAAACCGUUGGCAACAAAAGUGAGGACACCCCUAAGUGGAAAUGUCCAAAUUGGGCCCAAAGUGUCAAUAUUUUGUGUGGCCACCAUUAUUUUCCAGCACUGCCUUAACCCUCAUGAGCUUGGAGUUCACCAGAGCUUCACAGGUUGCCACUGGAGUCCUCUUCCAUUCCUCCAUGAUGACAUCACGGAGCUGGUGGAUGUUAGAGACCUUGCGCUCCCCCACCUUCCGUUUGAGGAUGCAGCAGGGGUUUAGGUCUGGAGACAUGCUAGGCCAGUCUACCACCUUUAUCUUCAGCUUCUUUAGCAAGGCAGUGGUCGUCUUGGAGGUGUGUUUGGGGUCGUUAUCAUGUUGGAAUACUGCCCUGCAGCCCAGUAUCUGAAGGGAGGGGAUCAUGCUCUGCUUCAGUAUGUCACUGUACAUGUUGGCAUUCAUGGUUCCCUCAAUGAACUAUAACUCUCCAGUGCUGGUAGCACUCAGGCAGGCCCAGACCAUGACACUCCCAUCACCAUGCUUGACUGUAUUCAAGACACACUUGUCUUUGUACUCCUAACCUGGUUGCCGCCACACACGCUUGACGUGAUCUGAACCAAAUAGGUUUAUCUUGGUCUCAUCGGACCACAGAACAUGGUUCCAGUAAUUCAUAUCCUUAGUCUGCUUGUCUUCAGCAAACUGUUUGCGGGCAUUCUUGUGCAUCAUCUUUAGAAGAGACUUCCUUCUGGAACAACAGCCAUGCAGACCAAUUUGAUGCAGUUUGUGGCAUAUGGUCUAAGCACUAACAGGUUGACCCUCCACCCCUUCAACCUCUGCAGCAAUGCUGGCAGCACUCAUAAGUCUAUUUCCCAAAGACAACCUCUGGAUAUGACGCUGAGCACUUGCACUCAACUUCUUUGGAUGACCAUGGCGAGGCCUGUUCUGUGUGGAACUUGUUCUGUGAAACCGCUGUAUGGACUUGGCGAACGUGCUACAGCUCAGUGUCAGGGUCUUGGCAAUCUUCUUAUAGCCUAGGCCAUCUUUAUGUAGAGCAACAAUUCUUUUUUUUCAGAUCCUCAGAGAGUUCUUUGCAAUGAGGUGCCAUGUUGAACUUCCAGUGACCAAUAUGAAAGAGUGUUAGAGCGAUAACACCAAUUUUAACACACCUGCUCCCCUGUUACACCUGAGACCUUGUAACUAACGAGUCACAUGAAACCGGGGAGGGAAAAUGGCCAAAUGGGCCCAAUUUGAACAUUUCCAUUUAGAGGUGUACUCACUUUUGUUGCCAACAGUUUAGACAUUAAUGGCUGUGUGUUGAGUUAUUUUGAGGGGACAGAAAAUUUACACUGUUUACAUGCUGUACACUUACUACUUUACAUUGUAGCAGAGUGUCAUGUCUUUAGUGUUGUCACGUGAAACGAUAUAAUAAAAUAUUUACAAAAAUGUGAGGGGUGUACUCACUUUUGUGAGGUACUGUAUGUCAGGAUCGAGACAGGGAUCCAACACGCAGAGUGCAAUAAAAUAGAAAACCGUAUACUGGGCCUUAGAAUGGCCGGACUAACGUCUAGAAAGAACAAAGAAUGGUCGGGGACAAGCCGAGGUCGAGGGAGCCAGAAGACAGGUAAGCGAAUAACAAGCCAAGUCAAAGGGAAGGAGAAAGUAGAAUAGUCAAAAUCAGAGUCAAGACAAAUACCAGGAAAUCUAACCAGAAUAAGCACUAUGGGAACAGACAAGCUAGAACCAUGACAGGGCAAUGAUUCAUGGCAAGUUAGUACUUUUUAUAGGUUGGCUCUUUAAGUGAUGACCACGCCCCCAAAAUGUUCUAAUUCGCUACAUAAAAAGGGGCGGAGCUACCGCGCCCGGUGCCUGACCAGCCGAGAUGAUUGAAGGGAGUGGAGGAAUUUGCCGCAUCCUGGGGAGACGUACCCACAGGCUGGAUUUCUGACAGGGCAGAAACAACAGGUACCCUGACAGUACCCCCCUUUGAGAAAUGCCCAGCUGGCGGAAGGUACCAGGACGGGAAGGGAAGUAAGCAUGAAAAGCCAGUAGAAGACGGGGAGCAUGGACAUCCUCAUGAACCACCCAGGACCUUUCCUCAGGACCAUAACCCUUCCAAUCAACGAGGUACUGCAGCUUCCCACGGGACAUACAAGAGUCAAGAACAGACUUGACUUCAUAUUCCUCCUGACCCACAACCAGAAUGGAGGAAGGAGGAGAAGACAGAGAAGUAUAUCUGUUACAUAUCAGAGGCUUCAACAACGAGACAUGAAAGGAAUUGGGAAUGCGUAAAGCAGGUAGCACUUCUACGUUUAUCCGCAUGAUGUUUGGACAAUGCAGAAUUGUGAGAAAGGAUUUGAUGAGUCUGAUCCCAUAAUUUUCUCAGGUUGGCAACGUGUUCGUCAACCAUCGGUAUACCCUGUGAAGGUGAUACAGAAGGCAGAACGGUAGGAUGAAACCCAUAUUUCAAGAAAAAGGGGCUGUUUCGCAUGGAAUCACAAACAAGAUUGUUAUGUGCAAACUCAGCCCAAGGAAUCAGACCAACCCAAUUGUCCUGAUGUUCAGAAACAAAACAUUGUAGAUAUUGUUCAAUCUUCUGAUUAGUACGCUCGGCUGCACUGUUUGAUUGAGGAUGAUAGGCUGAUGAGAAAUUCAACUUGAAACCCAUUUGGAAACAGAAGGCCCUCCAAAACCAUGACACAAACUGAGAAUCCCUAUCUGAGAUGAUAUCCGUGGGAAUGCCGUGUAAACGGAAAACCUCUUUAGCAAAUAUAUCAGCCAAUUCAGGGGAGGAAGGCAAUUUAGGCAGGGAAAUAAAAUGAGCCAUUUUAGUAAAUCUAUCAACAACGGUGAGGAUUACGGUUUGUUUGUUAGAUACUGGCAAAUCAACAAUAAAGUCAAUAGCUAAACUGACCCAUGUUUUUUUCGGUAUGUACAAAGGUUGGAGUAAACCACACGGAAGAGUAUGUGGUUGUUUAUUUUUAGCACAUAUUUCGCAAGCCAUGACAUAGUCUCUUAUAUCCCUAGGUAAAGUAGGCCACCAGAAAUCCUUAGAAACAAGAGAAUAUGUUUUGUGUAUCCCAGGGUGGCCGGCUACUCUACUGUCAUAAAAACAUAGAAGCAAUUCCUCUUGGAAAACAGGAGGAACAUAACUCUUUCCCUCUAGACUUAGUUCUGGAACUAGAUAUUGCUUCUUCUCAAUAUUGGUAAUCAGAGGAGAAUGCACCUUCACGCUUGUGUUGGCUACAAUAUUCUGUUUGGGAACGAUAGAGGACAUAGCAGUUUCUGUGAAUGUAGAAGGCUCAUGUUGGCGUGACAAGGCACCUGCUUUAUAAUUUUUUGAUCCCGGUCUGUAAGUAAGUAUGUAGUUAAAACGAGUAAGGAACAAGGACCAACGAGCCUGUCUGACAGACAAUCUUUUAGCCUCUCCUAUAUAAGACAGGUUCUUAUGAUCUGUUAGAAUGGUAAUCGGGUGUAACGUCCCCUCUAACAGAUGUCUCCAUUCUUUCNNNNNNNNNNNNNNNNNNNNNNNNNNNNNNNNNNNNNNNNNNNNNNNNNNNNNNNNNNNNNNNNNNNNNNNNNNNNNNNNNNNNNNNNNNNNNNNNNNNNAAUGCCAAGAACUCCCUAUCUCCAAUGUCAUACCUUCUCUCUGUGUCAGAUAAUUUCUUUGAGAAGAACCCACAUGGAUGUAAAGGUUUAUCCAGACGUUGUCUUUGGGAUAAAACUGCCCCUAUAUCUGUUUCAGAGGCGUCUACUUCAAGUAAAAAGGGUAACGUGGUGUCGGGAUGAACCACUAUUGGAGCAGAGGCAAAGGUUUCCUUAAGAGUGUCAAAAGCAGACAAAGCAGAGGAUGACCAUGACUUGGUAUUAGCACCUUUUUUAGUCAUGUUGGUUAUAGGUGCUACUAUGGAUGAGAAUCCUUUAAUGAAGCUCCUAUAGUAAUUGGAAAAUGGCUUUAAGUCCCCUUGGUAAAGGCCAUUGUAAAAUAGAUUUAAAGGACCACUAUAGGCACCCAGACCACUUCAGCUUAAUGAAGUGGUCUGGGUGCCUGGUCCAGCUAGGAUUAGCCCUUUUUUUCUGUAAACAUAGCAGUUUCUGGGAAACUGCUAUGUUUACCUAUGGGUUAAUCCAGCCUAAAGUGGCUGUCUCAUUGACAGCCGCUAGAGGCGCUUCCACGCUAAGAUGCCAGCGUCCAUUGAGAAUGCUUUCCUGUGGACUCGCUGAAUGCACGCGCAUUCAGCCGGUGACGGAAGAAGAGGGAGGAGAGGAGGAGGAGAGCUCCCAGCCCGGCGCUGGAGAAAGAGGUAAGUUUAACCCCUUCCUCCCCCUAGAGCCGUGCGGGAGGGGGACCCUGAGGGUGGGGGCACCCUCAGGGCACUAUAAUGCCAGGAAAACGAGUAUGUUUUCCUGGCACUAUAGUGAUCCUUUAAGCUUAAUCGGGUCCAUCAUAAAACCAUCGCUGUAGAUGAUAUACCCUAAGAAACCUAUCCGAGAUUUUUCACGUGUCUAUGAUGAGUUUCUCUGUCUUUGGAAUGGAUCAGUAUAUCGUCCAGGUAUACUAUAACACAUUCAUGUUGAAAGUCCCUUAGGACCUCAUUAAUUAGGUCUUGAAAAACAGCCGGGGCAUUACAUAGUCCGAAUGGCAUUACAGUGUACUCGUAAUGGCCGUAACGAGUAUUGAAGGCUGUUUUCCAUUCAUCUCCCUCACAAAUUCUUACCAAGUUAUAAGCUCCUCUUAAAUCUAAUUUGGUAAAAAUCUUGGAGCCCUUUAAUCUGUCAAACAACUCUGUAAUCAGAGGAAAAGGGUAAGCAUUUCUAAUAGUAAUAUGGAGGGCCUGGGGGGAAUGAGACACAAGGAGGGGCAGUGGGGAAGAAUGAGACACAUGCAGGGUCUGGAGCGAGAAUGAGACACAUAAAGGGACUGGGAGUGAAUGAGACACGUGUAAGGGCUGUGGGGGGGAUGAGACACAUGGGGGGAGCUGGGGGGAAUGAGACACAUGGAUGUGCUGAUUGGGAGAAUAAGACACACGGAGGGCCUGGGGGGGAAUGAGACACAUAGGGGGGGGCAAUUUUUGCACCUCUGAACUCAGUGGUUUCUAGUUACGCCUCUGAUCACAGGGAUGAAAAAAAGAGACAACAAAAGAAAAUAUAUAAUGGUGAACUUGAAAGCCUUUAAGGGACACUGUAGGCACCCAAACUGCAUCAUCUCAAUAAAGUGGUUAUAGCUUCUAGAUUUCUCUGGCACUGUUCUUCCAUUCAGUAUUAAACCAUGUUUAAGCAAAAGUCUCCAGCAACCAAGNNNNNNNNNNNNNNNNNNNNNNNNNNNNNNNNNNNNNNNNNNNNNNNNNNNNNNNNNNNNNNNNNNNNNNNNNNNNNNNNNNNNNNNNNNNNNNNNNNNNCUCAUCUGUCCUUGGAGUAAUUAAGAAGCAUAUUAGCCUGAGCAGCAAAGGAUGUUUGUGAUUGCCUGAAAGUGUCAGCUGACUACAUUAAGCCCAUCACAGUGUCAUUGCAGGUAUGAAUUUGUAUGGCUUCAAGGAAGCCAUGCCCAACUUAAUCUUAUCACUAGUGAUGUCGCGUACACGAAAUUUUCGGUUCGCGAAUGGCGAACGCGAACUUCCGCAAAUGUUCGCGAACCGGCGAACCGCGCGAACCGCCAUAGACUUCAAUGGGCAGGCGAAUUUUAAAACACACAGGGACUCUUUCUGGCCACAAUAGGGAUGGAAAAGUUGUUUCAAGGGGACUAACACCUGGACUGUGGCAUGCCGGAGGGGGAUCCAUGGCAAAACUCCCAUGGAAAAUUACACAGUUGAUACAGAGUCUGGUUUUAAUCCAUAAAGGGCAGAAAUCACCUAACAUUCCUAAAUCACAAUCAAUAUGGAUUGACACCUGACAUAUGACAUAUUGACACCUUGACAUAUGGAUUGACACCUGUCCUCAGAGCCCCUGAUGCACACGGACACAGAGCAGAAUAGGGACUGGUCCCCCUACAUAGUGUCACUUGGCACAUAUGGAUUGACAACUGUCCUAAGGAUCCCUGAUACACACUGACACAGAGCAGAAUAGGGACUGUUCCUCCUACAUAGGGUCACUUGGCAGAUAUGGAUUGACACCUGUCCUCAGAGACCAUGAUACACACUGACACAGAGCAGAAUAGAGACUGUUCCCCUACAUAGGGUCACUUGGCAGAUAUGGAUUGACACCUGUCCCCAGAGACCACUGAUACACACUGACACAGAGCAGAAUAGGGACUGUUCCCCUACAUCGGGUCACUUGGCAGGUAUGGAUUGACACCUGUCCUCAGGACCCUGAUACACACUGACACAGAGCAGAAUAGGGACUGUUCCUCCUACAUAGGGUCACUUGGCAGAUAUGGAUUGACACCUGUCCUCAGAGACCAUGAUACACACUGACACAGAGCAGAAUAUGUUCCCCUACAUAGGGUCACUUGGGAACACCUGUCUGACACACUAGCAGAAUAGGGACUGUUCCCUACAUCAGGUCACUUGGCAGAUAUGGAUUGACACCUUGUUACAAACUGCUAUUUGUAACGGGCCCUUUAAAUGGCAAAUUGCCCUGCUUCCCUGGGUUGUGGAGAAGCCUAUUUGCCAGCCUCCUCCCGCAUGACUAUGGCCCCUGGGAGAUUUUGAAAAUGUAUGCACUUUUAUUUGGUGUGUAUGGCCUUUAAGACUGUCAGUGGGCAUAUUGGGGCUUAUGGACUCUUUAUGUGACUGGUGCUGGCCCUUUAAACACCUUUUUGGGACAUCAGGAAGAUUGGGACACUGCCCCUUUAAGGCCGUGUCCCCAGACUUGUUGGGGACACUGCCCCUUUAAGACGGUGUCCCCUGUGUCCCCAGACCUGGUGCAAACCUUUGUGCCUGCCUGGCUAAUUCCCACUUGGUUCAGUAAAUGGGGCUUACUGAACCAAGUACCACACAGGCAGACCACCCAGAAGUGGAAGUGUGCAGGCAAUUUACCUCCCAGAAGCUGCGGUUAACCGCAGCUUAAUUGACAAUGCUGGGAGGUCUUUGUUCGUUUGCCGAACACGUGGCGGCGACCAUCUUUGAUCAUUCGACGAGGUCAGUGGUAUGUGUAGCCAAAUUCAUGGAACUAAAAUCGGCUACACAUUUCCGCGAACACCGCUGAGCUCUACCUUCUCCCCUACUGGUUUACAGCUGCAGAGACUAAGUCCCAUUCGGCGAUGGGACUUAGUCUUUUUUUCAGCCUUAUUUCAGCUGCAGAGACUAAGUCCCAUUCGGCGAUGGGACUUAGUCGUUUUUUCAGCCUGAANNNNNNNNNNNNNNNNNNNNNNNNNNNNNNNNNNNNNNNNNNNNNNNNNNNNNNNNNNNNNNNNNNNNNNNNNNNNNNNNNNNNNNNNNNNNNNNNNNNNGAUCCUGUGCUUGGCCAUCCCCCCCCUCCCCCCUCCCCACCCAAAAAUAAAAAAUAACCUGUAAAAAAUGUUAAAGGUUUUCUUUCUUUUUUUUUACAAUUUGUAAACUUUGCAAAACCGCUGUCAGCCCCUCCUACAAAACCCUUGUCCUGCCCUGCCCCUCCUACAAAACCUCUGUCCUGCCCCUUUUACAAAUCCUGUACUGCCCCAUCUACAAAACCCCCGCAACCCCCUUCCACAAAUCCCCUGCUUAUCCCCCCUUAUAAAGACUCCUGUCCCAAUACAAAACCCCCGCCCCCUUCUACAAAAUCCCUGCAGCCCCACACACACAUUUACAGGCAGACAGUCACACACUCAGUUACAGACAGACAGUCACACACUGUUACAGGCAGACAGUCACACACUGUUACAGGCAGACAGUCACACAUACACAUUUCCUCUGUGCGGCCAGUUUAUCAGCUGUUUGCUUGUGUGAGCUGUACGGCACCCUAACUACCAUGGGACACUGUGCGGCCACAGCUCACACAGCCCCCUCCAGCCAGGGCCGGUGCAAGGAUUUUUGCCGCCCUAGGCAAAAGUAAAGUUUGCCGCCCCCCCAUGUGACAUCACAAUGCCCCACCCAUAUGAUCUGCCAUGUUAACUAACACCAGUGCUGCAGUGCCGCCGUGUUUACAUUAAAAGGCCUGUAGGGACAGGCUAUAGACACCAGAACCACUACAUUAAGCUGCAGUGGUUCUGGGGACUAUAGUGUUUCUUUAAUGUGAGGUAAAUUAGAGAUUAGUGCCACGAAUAAUAUACUAGAUUGCCUACUUACAACCAGAUGAGGAUGAUGAUGGGCUCUAGCUGCAGUCUGGCUCCACUGGUCUGGUGUAGAACAGGCUUCUGGAGGCGGUUUGUAACUGUGGUCACAAAAAUCAAUGUUCUGGGAGAACGGGAAGCAGCUCCAUUUUUUGGGGGGCCCUUUACACAGCUCAAGGUCUGGGUCCCAGGGUCCACCUUCAUGUUCCACCAAUGAGUUUGUUCACAGGGGGUGGAAUGUGUAGGGGAUGUCCUGAUAUGUGUAAGGAAUGCAUUGUGUGAAAUUGUGUUUGUAUGUGUAAGGACUGCAAGGUGUGUUUCUGUGUAUGUAUGGGAUGCAUUGAAUGUGUGUAAGGGGUGCAUUGAGUGUGUGUAAUGAAUGCAUGGUGUGUUUCUGUGUGUGUAAGGGAUGCAUUGUGUGUAACGGUUGCAUUGCUUGUGUAUGUGUGUCUGUGUGUGUAAUGCAUUGUGUGUUUUUCUGUGUGCAAGGGGUGUAUUGUGUGUAUGUGAUGAAUGUCAAUCUCUCCUCCCGCUCCAAUUUCCUUCUCCUCCUCCCAAUUUCUCUUUCUCACCCCCCUCCUAAUUUCUCUCCCCCCCUAAUAUCUCUUCCCUCCCUCCUAAUUUCAAUUUCUCCCUCCCUCCUAUUUUCUCUCUCAGCCCCCUCCUAAUUUCUCUCCCCCCCUAAUUUCUCUUUCCCCCCUAAUUUCUCUUUCCCCCCUCCUAAUAUCUCUUCCCCCCUCNNNNNNNNNNNNNNNNNNNNNNNNNNNNNNNNNNNNNNNNNNNNNNNNNNNNNNNNNNNNNNNNNNNNNNNNNNNNNNNNNNNNNNNNNNNNNNNNNNNNGACACAGAAGCUGGCAGCAGUGGCAGACAACUGACUGCUAUUCAAUCUAUAACAGUGAAAAAAGUUUUUUUUCUUAAAUGCAAGCUAUUGUGACACCAGUGAGUGGUGGCACUGGGCACCGUAUCCACUGUUAGCGUAACACACCCGCUUUAAGGACACUGACUGCUAUUCAAUCUAUAACAGUGAANNNNNNNNNNNNNNNNNNNNNNNNNNNNNNNNNNNNNNNNNNNNNNNNNNNNNNNNNNNNNNNNNNNNNNNNNNNNNNNNNNNNNNNNNNNNNNNNNNNNUAUAACAGUGAAAAAAGUUUUUUGUUUUUAAAUGCAAGCUAUUAUGACACCAAUGAGUGGUGGCACUGGGCACGGUAUCCACUGUUAGCGUAACACACCCGCUUUAAGGACACUGACUGCUAUUCAAUCUAUAACAGUGAAAAAAAGUUUUUUGUUUUUAAAUCCAAGCUAUUGUGACACCAGAUAUAAGUGGUGAAAACUUGAAGGCUGAAAUAGGCACGAAAAGAGUAAUGCACUGUGAACUGACACAGAAGCUGGCAGCAGUGGCAGACAACGGCGCUAUUCAAUCUAUAACAGUGAAAAAAGUUUUUUGUUUUAAAUCCAAGCUAUUGUGACGCCAGAUAUAAGUGGUGGCACUGGUCACCGUAUCCACUGUUAGCGUAACACACCCGCUUUAAGGACACUGACUGCUAUUCAAUCUAUAACAGUGAAAAAAGUUUUUUGUUUUUAAAUCCAAGCUAUUGUGACACCAGAUAUAAGUGGUGGCACUGGGCAGCGUAUCCACUGUUAGCGUAACACACCCGCUUUAAGGACACUGACUGCUAUUCAAUCUACACCAGUGAAAAAAGUUUUUUGGUUUUAAAUGCAAGCUAUUGUGACACCAGUGAGUGAGUGGUGGCACUGGGCACAGUAUCCACUGUGAGCCUGACACUCCCGCUUUGAGACAACUAACUGCUAUUCAAUCUAUAACAGUGAAAAAAGUUUUUUGUUUUUAAAUGCAAGCUAUUGUGACACCAGUGAGUGGUGGCACUGGGCACCGUGUCCACUGUGAGCUUAACACACCCGCUUUAAGGACACUGACUGCUAUUCAAUCUAUAACAGUGAAAAAAGUUUUUUUGUUUUUAAAUGCAAGCCUAUGACACCAGUGAGUGGUGGCACUGGGCACCGAUCCACUGUUACGCAAUUUCCACACCCGCUUUAAGGACACUGACUGCUAUUCAAUCUAUAACAGUGAAAAAAGUUUUUUGUUUUUAAAUGCAAGCUAUUAUGACACCAGUGAGUGGUGGCACCGUAUCCACUGUUAGCGUAACACACCCGCUUUAAGGACACUGACUGCUAUUCAAUCUAUAACAGUGGAAAAAAGUUUUUUUUUUUAAAUGCAAGCUAUUGUGACACCAGAUAUAAAUGGUGGCACAGACUGGGGAAAUGGGCACAGUAUCCACUGUGAGCCUGACACAGAAGCUGGCAGCAGUGGCAGACAACUGACUGCUAUUCAAUCUAUAACAGUGAAAAAAAAUUUUUUUUUAAAAUGCAAGCUAUUGUGACACCAGAAAUAAGUGGUGGCACUGACUGGGGAAAUGGGCACAGUAUCCACUGUGAGCCUGACACAGAAGCUGGCAGCAGUGGCAGACAACUGACUGCUAUUCAAUCUAUAACAGUGAAAAAACUUUUUUUUUUUUAAAUGCAAGCUAUUGUGACACCAGUGAGUGGUGGCACUGGGCACCAUAUCCACUGUGAGCCUGACACACCCGCUUUAAGGACACUGACUGCUAUUCAACCUAUAACAGUGAAAAAAGUUUUUUUGUUUUUAAAUGCAAGCUAUUAUGACACCAGUGAGUGGUGGCACUGGGCACCGUAUCCACUGUGAGCUUGACACACCCGCUUUAAAGACACUGACUGCUAUUCAAUCUAUAACAGUGAAAAAAGUUUUUUGUUUUUAAAUGCAAGCUAUUAUGACACCAAUGAGUGGUGGCACUGGGCACCGUAUCCACUGUUAGCGUAACACACCCGCUUUAAGGACACUGACUGCUAUUCAAUCUAUAACAGUGAAAAAAGUUUUUUGUUUUUAAAUGCAAGCUAUUGUGACACCAGAUAUAAGUGGUGGCACUGACUGGGGAAAUGGGCACAGUAUCCACUGUGAGCCUGACACAGAAGCUGGCAGCAGUGGCAGACAACUGACUGCUAUUCAAUCUAUAACAGUGAAAAAAGUUGUUUUUUUUUAAAUGCAAGCUAUUGUGACACCAGAUAUAAAUGGUGGCACUGACUGGGGAAAUGGGCACAGUAUCCACUGUAAGCCUGACACAGAAGCUGGCAGCAGUGGCAGACAACUUACUGCAAUUACAUUACAUAGAAAUUUUUUUUAUAAAAAAGCAUACCCUAACCCUAACCUAGCUAUGCAUUUCCCUAUCUAAUCAACAGCAGCUACACUUUCCCUCCUCUCACUAAGCAUGCAGCUUGAGAAUGAAUGUAAAAUGGAUGCCUUCCAGUAGGUGGGAGGGUCUGCUAGGGAGGGUGUGCUGCUAAUUGGCUGGAAUGUGUCUGCUGACUGUGAGGUACAGGGUCAAAGUUUACUCAAUGAUGACGAAUAGGGGGCGGAUCGAACCGCGCAUAUGUUCGCCCGCCGUGGCGAACGCGAACAUGCUAUGUUCGCCAGGAACCGUUCGCCAGCGAACCAUUCGGUACAUCACUACUUAUCACCAGUGGAAGCAGGUCUAUGGCAAGCCAGGUACCCUCAUUCAGCAUUUAUCUGCUUGAAAGUGGUUUAAGACUGAAAGAGUACAGAAAAAAGGAGAAAUUAAACAAUGUGUAUAUUUCAUCUAUUCAGUUGCAAUAUUUGCCCUGGCUUUGCCUUGUCAGAAUUGCUUUAUGAUAUAGUUUGCUAAAUCUUUCAUUAAAAUUUAAACAGAAACACAAAAAAAAAGGGUUGUCAGGUUAUAAGCGAUUUUCAAUAUUUUACUCAAUGAUGUAAAAUUGACAGCAACUGACUACAGACAGGUUGUGAUAUACUUGCGUGUAUGUCUGCCUUUCCAUCCUUUGCCUUCUAAUGCUCAUAGCAAGUCAGCUCACUCCAUACUCUCAUUGGCUGAGCUGUGUAUGUACGCUGAUAAGGAAGUCCUUUUUCUGGAUUGGGAGGUGUGGCUUUCAUUUUAUUUUUUGUACGCAAAAAGUACAGCAUAUCGAUGAUAUUUGUGUCGGUGCACUGAAUAUCUACUUUCAAGCUGUUAACAUAACUGAUUUUAUUAUGUUUUUAUGAUUUUUUAAUUGUAUUUAUUCCUAUUUACAGAGCAUUCUGCAAUGUCUGGCUGAAGCGUUCACAAGAAAAUAUUUUUCCUGGGGCAACUUUAACAAUGGACAAUUUUGGCGUAUUUCAGUACCCCAUUUAUCGAUGGAUAAUCAUUGCUGCAUUGUGUUUUAUCUUUCUUAUAAGUUGUUUAAGGUUACUGUUUAAGUGUUGCAAAUUAAUUAAUCACACAGGUACUAACGAGACAGCAGACUCUACCACCAUUUCUACUAUCAAUUCUCAGUUUAAUACGGGAUACCAAUCAAAUCAAGAUAGACCUCAUUUCGAAAGUCAGCAUUUUCCAAGUACUACAGACCCGCUGUCGGAACCCUUUCGCUUCGCUACAGCUCCUAACCAGGCCUAUUUGCAUGACACAAACUUUACUAUAGCUCAAACAACGCUCAUACAAGAUAUACCUCCUAGCUAUGAAGACGUCAUUAGACAGAAAUGUUAACCUGCAAUUAAUGUAUCAUUUGUAUGAAGUAUUUUCUUACAUCUAUUUACAUCUAACUGCCAGACAGCUGAUAGUUGUGAUGCAAUCUUUUUAUUCUUCAUCUAACCUAGUCUAGGUCAUUCAGAAAAUUAAUCUUGCACUGAUUGGCACUAAAAAUCUGAUGUUUUUAAGGCUUCAACCAGAAACAGCAAAACAAGUAAAGUUUUCAAAACUAAACUGCAAUAAUGCAGAGUCCAUCAGAGAUAUAGGGCUGGUAUAUUGCCUUGAGAACUUCAGGACUCAACUCUUGGUUUUAUUUUUCUUAUCUAAUACAAUUACGUUGCAUUUUGAACCCAUGUCAGAGGUAUUAAGUGGGUUCCUCUGUGAGUGUCUCCAAGCCGCUGAGUGGAGACAAACAUUAAAAGAAAGAUGCAUCAGUUUUCUAUGCUGUGCAGAGACACAGAAUCCUGGGAGGUACCACCUACUGAAGGUAGCCCAUGGAGCAGCGCAGCUAAGUUGAAUGGUCCUUGACAUGGCUAGGAGACAGGCAUAGGAGGUGUUUAGUGUUGAGGUUUG
rnacentral:lncRNA from 1 species